rnacentral:rRNA from 1 species
UACGGAGGGAGCUAGCGUUGUUCGGAAUUACUGGGCGUAAAGCGCACGUAGGCGGCUACUCAAGUCGGGGGUGAAAGCCCGGGGCUCAACCCCGGAACUGCCCUCGAAACUAGAUAGCUAGAAUCUUGGAGAGGUCAGUGGAAUUCCGAGUGUAGAGGUGAAAUUCGUAGAUAUUCGGAAGAACACCAGUGGCGAAGGCGACUGACUGGACAAGUAUUGACGCUGAGGUGCGAAAGCGUGGGGAGCAAACGGG